UACGUAGGGUGCAAGCGUUGUCCGGAAUUAUUGGCGUAAAGAGCUCGUAGGCGGUCUGUCGCGUCUGCUGUGAAAACUCAGGGCUUAACCCUGAGCUUGCAGUGGGUACGGGCAGACUAGAGUGCGGUAGGGGAGACUGGAAUUCCUGGUGUAGCGGUGAAAUGCGCAGAUAUCAGGAGGAACACCGGUGGCGAAGGCGGGUCUCUGGGCAAUUCCUGACGC
rnacentral:rRNA from 1 species